UACGGAGGGGGCGAGCGUUAUUCGGAAUUAUUGGGCGUAAAGGGUGCGUAGGCGGUUUGGUAAGUCUGAUGUGAAAUCUAUGGGCUCAACUCAUAGUCUGCAUCGGAAACUGCCGGGCUUGAGUGUGGGAGAGGUGAGUGGAAUUCCUGGUGUAGCGGUGAAAUGCGUAGAUAUCAGGAGGAACACCUGUGGCGAAAGCGGCUCACUGGACCAUAACUGACGCUGAUGCACGAAAGCUAGGGGAGCAAACAGG
rnacentral:rRNA from 1 species